GCCAGACUCCUACGGGAGGCAGCAGUGGGGAAUAUUGGGCAAUGGGCGAAAGCCUGACCCAGUAAUGCCGCGUGAAUGAAGAAGGUCUUAGGAUUGUAAAAUUCUGUCCUAUGGGAAGAAACAAAUGACGGUACCAUAGGAGGAAGCACCGGCUAACUCCGUGCCAGCAGCCGCGGUAAUACGGAGGGUGCGAGCGUUAAUCGGAAUUACUGGGCGUAAAGCGCACGUAGGCUGUAUGACAAGUCAAGGGUGAAAUGCCACGGCUCAACCGUGGAACUGCCUUUGAAACUGUCAAACUGGAGUAUGUGAGAGGGCGGCGGAAUUCCUGGUGUAGGAGUGAAAUCCGUAGAUAUCAGGAGGAACAUCAGUGGCGAAGGCGGCCGCCUGGCACAAAACUGACGCUGAGGUGCGAAAGCGUGGGUAGCAAACAGGAUUAGAUACCCCCGUA
rnacentral:rRNA from 1 species